AUUGAACGCUGGCGGAAUGCUUUACACAUGCAAGUCGAACGGUAGAGGGGGCAACCCCUCGAGAGUGGCGAACGGGUGAGUAAUAUAUCGGAACGUGCCCAGUCGUGGGGGAUAACGUAGCGAAAGUUACGCUAAUACCGCAUACGAUCUAAGGAUGAAAGCGGGGGAUCGAAAGACCUCGCGCGAUUGGAGCGGCCGAUAUCAGAUUAGGUAGUUGGUGGGGUAAAGGCUCACCAAGCCAACGAUCUGUAGCUGGUCUGAGGGGACGACCAGCCACACUGGAACUGAGACACGGUCCAGACUCCUACGGGAGGCAGCAGUGGGGAAUUUUGGACAAUGGACGCAAGUCUGAUCCAGCCAUUCCGCGUGCAGGAUGAAGGCCCUCGGGUUGUAAACUGCUUUUGUACGGAACGAAAAGGUCUCUCUUAAUACGGGGGACUCAUGACGGUACCGUAAGAAUAAGCACCGGCUAACUACGUGCCAGCCGCCGCGGUAA
rnacentral:rRNA from 1 species